UAUUACCGCGGCUGCUGGAACAACGCCGCGCGAGACAAGAAGGUCUUCGGAUCGUAAAACUCUGUUGUUAGAGAAGAACACGAGUGAGAGUAACUGUUCAUUCGAUGACGGUAUCUAACCAGCAAGUCACGGCUAACUACGUGCCAGCAGCCGCGGUAAU
rnacentral:rRNA from 1 species